rnacentral:rRNA from 1 species
CCUACGGGAGACAGCAGUGAGGAAUAUUGGUCAAUGGGCUUACGCCUGAACCAGCCAAGUCGCGUGAGGGAAGACUGCCCUAUGGGUUGUAAACCUCUUUUGUCAGGGAGCAACGCCGGCUACGUGUAGCCGGACUGAGAGUACCUGAAGAAAAAGCAUCGGCUAACUCCGUGCCAGCAGCCGCGGUAAUACGGAGGAUGCGAGCGUUAUCCGGAUUUAUGGGGUUAAAAGGGUGCGUAGGCGGAAUGCCAAGUCAGCGGUAAAAUCGCGGGGCUCAACCUCGCUCCGCCGUUGAAACUGGCGUUCUUGAGUGGGCGAGAAGUAUGCGGAAGGCGUGGUGUAGCGGUGAAAUGCAUAGAUAUCACGCAGAACUCCGAUUGCGAAGGCAGCAUACCGGCGCCCAACUGACGCUGAAGCACGAAAGCGUGGGUAUCGAACAGGAUUAGAUACCCCAGUAGUC